rnacentral:lncRNA from 1 species
UAAUUCAUUUAAAAAAAAAAAACUGUUUUGGUUCAUCUUCUUUGUUCAAGCUUAUCAACCCUAAAAAUGGCAAGAUCUAACCAUAAAAUAUCAUAUAUCAUGUAGAUCUUCCCUCAUAUGGAUCAUAAGUUCAACACUUGGUCUAAAACAACCAUCACAAAACACAUAAACUAACUAGAGUUUUGAGUUUAGGAAAUUUUAUACCUUUGAUUCCAACCAAAAUCAACACCCAAUAUUGUUAGAUCUAAACAUGAAACACUUAUAUAUACAUAGAUCUAAGGUUUUAAACCUCAAGAUCACAACUUCAAGUUGUCAAAAAUCAAAUCAAAACACCAAGGAAAUUUAGCCUACACAAGUAGAAAUUUUUAUUAUACCUUAGCUUGAUUUCUUCUCCUCCUUCUUCCUUCCUUCCAUGGAUGGAUCUUGGUUUCAUGAGAGUCUAAAUCUCCCCUCCUUCUUCCCUUAGAGUGGCCGAAAAUGGCCUUCUCCUCUCUCUCUCUCUCUCUUGUCUUCUUAGCUAACUUUGGUAGUAAAAUGAAAGAGAAAGAAGUAAAAGAAAAUAAGAUGACUUU